rnacentral:rRNA from 1 species
UACGGAGGGUGCAAGCGUUAUCCGGAUUCACUGGGUUUAAAGGGUGCGUAGGUGGGCAGGUAAGUCAGUGGUGAAAUCUCCGGGCUUAACCCGGAAACUGCCGUUGAUACUAUUUGUCUUGAAUAUUGUGGAGGUGAGCGGAAUAUGUCAUGUAGCGGUGAAAUGCUUAGAUAUGACAUAGAACACCAAUUGCGAAGGCAGCUCACUACACAAUCAUUGACGCUGAGGCACGAAAGCGUGGGGAUCAAACAGG